rnacentral:misc_RNA from 1 species
ACAAAAAUAUGAACCCGUAAGAUUUCAGUUUCAGAAUAAUGUCUGGCAUAACUUUGACAUAUUAAUUUAGUUGCAAAAAAGAUUAAAAGUUGUUUAAAAAGGUAGCAGGGAGUAUAUCAUUUACUUCUUAGAACCAUCAAAUGAGUUGUACAACAGCUGCUACGCGAAGUGCUCCAUUUUGGAGAAGGUCAGAUACUUCAUCAAACAACAGGGCCGAGCGCCAGCCCCAUCCUUUGGGAGCUUUUGGCAGAAGAGUUCCAGUUUGUUUGAAGCUACCAAACACCAUCACUUCUCUCUUUGAAGGAAAGAUCAACUGAUAUCUAGCAGUAACUUUUUCACGGGAAUCGACAUACAUAUGCACCUUUCUAACUGGAUCAGCUAUUUCUGCCUUCCUACGAUGAAGAAAUAGCCCAAGUGUUCGACGUCCCUGAGGGUCUUCAUCACUGAAAGCCUGAACACUAACCUUCCAUAACGAACCAGCAUAAAAAAAUUCUUGAGAGUGUUUAACUUGGCCAUCAUUAAGCCUGAGAACAUCAUGAAACUCAACCCCGAACCGAAAGGGGGGAAAGUGACUUAAAGGAGUUUUCAUAUCCAGUGAUAUAGCAGUACUUCCAUUCUCCCACUCUAUUCCCAUUGCAUGUUCAGACGAGCCUGGCAUCUGGGGAGAAAUACUGCUUGAACUUGGGCCAACAGUUGAUGGUAUUUCCGGUCUGCUUUGCAGUUCUGUCUCAAAUCCCCUAUCAACAUGAAUAUUAGCACUAUUGCUUCCUUCUUGGCUGAGCCCAACCAGAGCAGUUAGUCCAUCUCCAGCAAGAUCCCCGCUCUGUUCUGCUCUAUUUUCUGGGUCAUCAUUGGCAGGAGAUUGCUGACAGUUCCGGUUGCCCAUACCAAGUGGUACACGAGAGAAAACAAAACGAGUUGGAGGCCAAGCAACUGCAGGCACAAAUGUAGAUCCACGUCCAAUACCAGCUAGACCAUCAUUGGGGCCCCUAACAUGAACCCGAACAGGCCUAAACAUGCCACUUCCUUCCCUGUGAGGCGAGUCAGUGGCAUACAUAUUUCCUAUAUUGUUGGAUGGAUUGCUCUGAUCAUGAUCUGACAUGUAAUAUCCAGUAGCUGCGACUCCACGCGAAUUUCCAAAUGGCUGCCGACAAGCACAUGCCAUGCUCACAAGGCAGCAACUUUUGCAAGUGUCAGCACCAAUUUCCUG